UACGGGGGGAGCAAGCGUUGUUCAGAUUUACUGGGCGUGAAGGGCGCGUAGGCGGCCUGUGCAAGUCAGUUGUGAAAUCUCCGAGCUUAACUCGGAAAGGUCAACUGAUACUGCUCGGCUAGAGUGCGGAAGGGGCAACUGGAAUUCUUGGUGUAGCGGUGAAAUGCGUAGAUAUCAGGAGGAACACCGGUGGCGAAGGCGGAUCUCUGGGCCAUUACUGACGCUGAGGAGCGAAAGCGUGGGGAGCGAACAGG
rnacentral:rRNA from 1 species